rnacentral:snRNA from 1 species
GUGCUCACUUCGGCAGCACAUAUACUAAAAUUGGAAAGAUACAGAGAAGAUUAGCACAGCCCCUGCACAAGGAUAACACACAAAUACAUGAAGCAUUCCAUAUUUUU